CGGAGCUAAUCCCUUAAAGCUACUCUCAGUUCGGAUUGUAGGCUGAAACUCGCCUACAUGAAGCUGGAGUUACUAGUAAUCGCAGAUCAGAAUGCUGCGGUGAAUGCGUUCCCGGGUCUUGUACACACCGCCCGUCACACCACGGGAGUUGGAGACGCCCGAAGCCGAUUAUCUAACCUUUUGGAAGAAGUCGUCGAAGGUGGAA
rnacentral:rRNA from 1 species